UGACUGGGGCGGUCGCCUCCUAAAAGAUAACGGAGGCGCUCAAAGGUUUGCUCAGAAUGGUUGGAAAUCAUUCGUAGCGUGUAAAGGCAUAAGCAAGCUUGACUGUGAGACUGACAAGUCGAGCAGGUACGAAAGUAGGACUUAGUGAUCCGGUGGUUCCGUAUGGAAGGGCCAUCGCUCAACGGACAAAAGCUACCCCGGGGAUAACAGGCUCAUCUCCCCCAAGAGUCCACAUCGACGGGGAGGUUUGGCACCUCGAUGUCGGCUCAUCGCAUCCUGGGGCUGUAGUCGGUCCCAAGGGUUGGGCUGUUCGCCCAUUAAAGCGGUACGCGAGCUGGGUUCAGAACGUCGUGAGACAGUUCGGUCCCUAUCCGUCGUGGGCGCAGGAAAUUUGAGAGGAUCUGUCCUUAGUACGAGAGGACCGGGAUGGACAUACCUCUGGUGUACCAGUUGUUCUGCCAAGAGCACCGCUGGGUAGCUACGUAUGGAUUAGAUAAUCGCUGAAAGCAUCUAAGUGAGAAACUAACCUCGAGAUGAGAUUUCCCAUUCGUCAGAAGUAAGACCCCUGAGAGACGAUCAGGUAGAUAGGCUAGAAGUGGAAGUGUAGUGAUGCAUGGAGCGGACUAGUACUAAUAGGUCGAGGACUUAACCAAG
rnacentral:rRNA from 1 species